rnacentral:lncRNA from 1 species
AGAUGGAUGGAUGGAUGGAUGGUUGAGAAUUAAAAAGGAAGAGGCUACCAUACUACCAUGUGAGUUGAGCAGCAGUGUAGUAUUAGGUUCUGGAAAUUACCCGGAUCUAUAAAAUAAUUGCUGCUACCAGAGAGAGCAGCAUGCAGUGUGGAGUAGUAUAUCUGUGUCUCCAAUAUAUGGAUAUUUCUGGCUGCCUGCGCAUGUGAAACGAACAUGCACGGCACGGCGCGUCGUGUGUGAUUUGAUUCCACACCUCCACCAUGCCGGUGGUGUUGCCACCGUCACCGAUGGAACGAAAAGGCGCGCGGCUUUACACCUGUCCCUCCUUCGUCUCCGCAGACCCGCCGCCGCCGCCGCCGUGCCCUUCUUUCAUCUCUUGCUUCUCCCUACGACCCCUGCCUCUCAGCUGUGCACGACGCAGCUUGGUUUGGCUGGCCGGAUCGCGCUGGCGGGGGCGAGGGGGGCUCUGACUUGCUGGGCUCGAUCGGGUUUGGCCCGUGCACGGACCUUAAUAGCUGCUGCUGGUGCGUUGGGUAUGUGCCGUCUAUACCGGAGAACUU